UGUGUCCUGAUAUAAAUGAUUAUGCAUGGAAUAUGAGUUUUUGCAGGCUCUGAAAACUUGCCAGGUGUAUUACUGCAAUGUGUUAAAAGGGCCAUGAGAUAUAAAUGCCACAAGAGAAUUUGCAGCUUCUGCUAUCUAACCUACUUGCUGAUUCCAAGAAUAAAAGACAAGGGAAGAUAAUGGUUCUAAAGAGUUAGCUUUCUACAGGCUCCUCUUAAUCCCUUUAUUUAGUACCAGUUUUUCUGAACCUUCUUAUCUGUAUGAAAUAAGUAUAUGUUAGCUGCAUCAAGUUAGUGGGGGAAAAAAGAAUCUCUAUCCAGACUAAACCAAAGGAAUGCAAUUUGCAAAUCCAGGAAGACAGAGCUGCACUGACUUUGGAAUGUCAAAAAAGAAAGUAUAACUUCUAGUAAAGUAAGCAAAUAUAAUGUAGACCAUAUCAUACAAUUGUAGUUUCCUGUGACAGAGGCUUAUGAUGAUGAUCUAAAAUUCAUGACUGAGUCCAUGUAUAUUCUCCUAAGCAAACUCCUGACAAAAGACCACCAUGUGUUUCAAAUAGCUCCAUCACUGUCAAUCAAAACCAGGCAGUUUCCAGAGACGUUAAUAAAAGACGUUAAUAAAAAUGGCAAAAGCAAAGUGAUGUAUCAUGCAGCAGGUCACACACACACUAAUCAAAACACAGUACAUAUUUACUUUAACAAGACAUCCUAACUUUCAAAAGAAAACACCUUUAUCAAUUAGUCUUAGCACUUAAUUCUUAUGGACUUGGUGAAGAGCUUAAUUUCAUUCACUGAAAUUACAGAAUUGGUUAAAGUGCUGUAGAAACAAUAAAAAUAAUUUGCAUUUUGCUAUUAAAAAACAUUUAUUCCUCUUGAAACUUGUUUUCAGCAAUAAUUACAUCAAGUGUUAAAACUGAGCAUUAGCAA